rnacentral:rRNA from 1 species
AGGACAAACGCUGGCGGCGUACUUAAGACAUGCAAGUCGAACGGGCGCUUCACCUUCGGGUGGGUGUGCUAGUGGCGGACGGGUGAGUAACGCGUAGGAACCUGUCAUCAAGAGGGGGAUAACGCUGGGAAACCGGCGCUAAUACCGCAUGUGGUCAUGAAAAUGAAGAAAGCAGCAAUGCGCUUGAUGAGGGGCCUGCGUCCGAUUAGCUUGUUGGUGGGGUAAAGGCCUACCAAGGCAUCGAUCGGUAGCUGGUCUGAGAGGAUGGUCAGCCACACUGGGACUGAGACACGGCCCAGACUCCUACGGGAGGCAGCAGUUAGGAAAUUUUCCCAAUGGGCGCAAGCCUGAGGGAGUAACGCCGCGUGGAGGAUGACGGCUUUCGGGUUGUAAACUCCUUUCUGUGGAGAGUAGAGACGGUACCGCAGGAAUAAGCCUCGGCUAACUACGCGCCAGCAGCCGC